GGGUUGUGAGGUUAAGCGACUAAGCGUACACGGUGGAUGCCCUGGCAGUCAGAGGCGAUGAAGGACGUGCUAAUCUGCGAAAAGCGUCGGUAAGGUGAUAUGAACCGUUAUAACCGGCGAUGUCCGAAUGGGGAAACCCAGUGCAAUUCGUUGCACUAUCGUUAACUGAAUACAUAGGUUAACGAGGCGAACCGGGGGAACUGAAACAUCUAAGUACCCCGAGGAAAAGAAAUCAACCGAGAUUCCCCCAGUAGCGGCGAGCGAACGGGGAGCAGCCCAGAGUCUGAAUCAGCUUGUGUGUUAGUGGAACGGUCUGGAAAGUCCGACGGUACAGGGUGAUAGUCCCGUACACCAAAAUGCACAGGUUGUGAACUCGAAGAGUAGGGCGGGACACGUGGUAUCCUGUCUGAAUAUGGGGGGACCAUCCUCCAAGGCUAAAUACUCCUGACUGACCGAUAGUGAACCAGUACCGUGAGGGAAAGGCGAAAAGAACCCCGGCGAGGGGAGUGAAAAAGAACCUGAAACCGUGUACGUACAAGCAGUGGGAGCACCUUCGGGUGUGACUGCGUACCUUUUGUAUAAUGGGUCAGCGACUUAUAUUCUGUAGCAAGGUUAACCGUAUAGGGGAGCCGCAGGGAAACCGAGUCUUAACUGGGCGUUAAGUUGCAGGGUAUAGACCCGAAACCCGGUGAUCUAGCCAUGGGCAGGUUGAAGGUUGGGUAACACUAACUGGAGGACCGAACCGACUAAUGUUGAAAAAUUAGCGGAUGACUUGUGGCUGGGGGUGAAAGGCCAAUCAAACCGGGAGAUAGCUGGUUCUCCCCGAAAGCUAUUUAGGUAGCGCCUCGUGAAUUCAUCUUCGGGGGUAGAGCACUGUUUCGGCUAGGGGGUCAUCCCGACUUACCAACCCGAUGCAAACUACGAAUACCGAAGAAUGUUAUCACGGGAGACACACGGCGGGUGCUAACGUCCGUCGUGAAGAGGGAAACAACCCAGACCGCCAGCUAAGGUCCCAAAGUCAUGGUUAAGUGGGAAACGAUGUGGGAAGGCACAGACAGCCAGGAUGUUGGCUUAGAAGCAGCCAUCAUUUAAAGAAAGCGUAAUAGCUCACUGGUCGAGUCGGCCUGCGCGGAAGAUGUAACGGGGCUAAACCAUGCACCGAAGCUGCGGCAGCGACACUAUGUGUUGUUGGGUAGGGGAGCGUUCUGUAAGCCUGCGAAGGUGUGCUGUGAGGCAUGCUGGAGGUAUCAGAAGUGCGAAUGCUGACAUAAGUAACGAUAAAGCGGGUGAAAAGCCCGCUCGCCGGAAGACCAAGGGUUCCUGUCCAACGUUAAUCGGGGCAGGGUGAGUCGACCCCUAAGGCGAGGCCGAAAGGCGUAGUCGAUGGGAAACAGGUUAAUAUUCCUGUACUUGGUGUUACUGCGAAGGGGGGACGGAGAAGGCUAUGUUAGCCGGGCGACGGUUGUCCCGGUUUAAGCAUGUAGGCUUUGUCCAGGCAAAUCCGGAUAAUCAAGGCUGAGGUGUGAUGACGAGGCACUACGGUGCUGAAGUAACAAAUGCCCUGCUUCCAGGAAAAGCCUCUAAGCAUCAGGUAACAUCAAAUCGUACCCCAAACCGACACAGGUGGUCAGGUAGAGAAUACCAAGGCGCUUGAGAGAACUCGGGUGAAGGAACUAGGCAAAAUGGUGCCGUAACUUCGGGAGAAGGCACGCUGGUGUGUAGGUGAAGUCCCUGCGGAUGGAGCUGAGACCAGUCGAAGAUACCAGCUGGCUGCAACUGUUUAUUAAAAACACAGCACUGUGCAAACACGAAAGUGGACGUAUACGGUGUGACGCCUGCCCGGUGCCGGAAGGUUAAUUGAUGGGGUUAUCCGUAAGGAGAAGCUCUUGAUCGAAGCCCCGGUAAACGGCGGCCGUAACUAUAACGGUCCUAAGGUAGCGAAAUUCCUUGUCGGGUAAGUUCCGACCUGCACGAAUGGCGUAAUGAUGGCCAGGCUGUCUCCACCCGAGACUCAGUGAAAUUGAACUCGCUGUGAAGAUGCAGUGUACCCGCGGCAAGACGGAAAGACCCCGUGAACCUUUACUAUAGCUUGACACUGAACAUUGAGCCUUGAUGUGUAGGAUAGGUGGGAGGCUUUGAAGCGUGGACGCCAGUCUGCGUGGAGCCAACCUUGAAAUACCACCCUUUAAUGUUUGAUGUUCUAACGUUGGCCCCUGACCGGGGUUGCGGACAGUGUCUGGUGGGUAGUUUGACUGGGGCGGUCUCCUCCCAAAGCGUAACGGAGGAGCACGAAGGUUAGCUAAUCCUGGUCGGACAUCAGGAGGUUAGUGCAAUGGCAUAAGCUAGCUUGACUGCGAGCGUGACGGCGCGAGCAGGUGCGAAAGCAGGUCAUAGUGAUCCGGUGGUUCUGAAUGGAAGGGCCAUCGCUCAACGGAUAAAAGGUACUCCGGGGAUAACAGGCUGAUACCGCCCAAGAGUUCAUAUCGACGGCGGUGUUUGGCACCUCGAUGUCGGCUCAUCACAUCCUGGGGCUGAAGUAGGUCCCAAGGGUAUGGCUGUUCGCCAUUUAAAGUGGUACGCGAGCUGGGUUUAGAACGUCGUGAGACAGUUCGGUCCCUAUCUGCCGUGGGCGCUGGAGAAUUGAGGGGGGCUGCUCCUAGUACGAGAGGACCGGAGUGGACGCAUCACUGGUGUUCGGGUUGUCAUGCCAAUGGCACUGCCCGGUAGCUAAAUGCGGAAGAGAUAAGUGCUGAAAGCAUCUAAGCACGAAACUUGCCCCGAGAUGAGUUCUCCCUGAGACUUUAAGUCUCCUGAAGGAACGUUAAAGACGAUGACGUUGAUAGGCCGGGUGUGUAAGCGCAGCGAUGCGUUGAGCUAACCGGUACUAAUGAACCGUGAGGCUUAACCUUACAACGCCGAAG
rnacentral:rRNA from 1 species